AAAAGGAACUCGCACAGAUAAGCAUAUAGACUUCACUAUAAAACCACAGAAACCACGGAAUAUUCUAUAAUAAAUCUAUAACAAAGAUCUAAGUGCACACAGAAGCCUGGAGACGCCAGUCAGUGCCACAGUCGGAGGAGAGGAUCUAUGCGCCAGCCCUUUCGAAAUGUUGCCAGUGCUGUGCUUGAGAGAAAGGCAGGUGUUGGGACAGAAACAGUGCUGAUGCUUUUCAAACUUGAGCCUAUGUCAUCAUAGGGGAAUCUGGGAAAAGAUGCUUCCCACCACCAAAGAGAAUGCCAGGAAACAACCAGCAUCUCCGUGGACACGCUCCUGGUUAUGAGCAGUGAACGAAGCCAAAGGUCUGCAUGACCCAUGGAAGAGGAGAAACUACUGGCAACAGCAGGCCAGGCAGGCUGCUCUGCAGGUGUUGGAUACCAGUCUUGGCCUCAAUCCGAGUUAACCAUCUCAACGAAUAUCAGCACUGGAAGAAAAAACUGUUUACAAUGGAAAGGAACGGCAAUGUUCCAAAUCUACUUGAGUAGCAGAAAAUCAAAAUUCUCCUCAGGCCUUUCCUCCAGCAACACAUUCCUGUUGACAAAACGAGCUGGAAUGUGUGGGGCUGGGUUCCUGCUCCAGUCCUUCCAGCUUUAUAGAACCCCAGGAGACAGCUCACUUCCCAGCGCCACCAGCCUUCCUUGGAUGUUUUCCACUCUGGUUGGGUUCAGGCCGGCAGUUUCUCCGCAUUCUUAGCUGUUUUAUUUCCAACGUACUCCAGGGCUGGUUGAGAAAGGGGAGAGGGGAGCCUCAUGACCCCCAUUGGGUCCCCUGGGAAGGGCACACGCACCUCUAUUGUAGGGUCACUGGUUCCUGGGAAUUCCAGCCAAUGACAGAACUACGUGGUCUUAAUUGCAUUUGAAAAUAAGACUAAAGAGAACAGAAAGAACAAGUAAGACAAGGUAAAUGAAAUGCAAAAAGAAAAGAAAAGAAAAGAAAAAGUAAAGAAAUUUCACAGGAUUUUGCAAACUUUUGUUAAGCAUUCAAAUUCUAAAACACUCAACCAAACAAAGCUUUCACAGCUAUUUGUGCCUCAGGCUUAUUUCCUAAUUCAAAGCCGUAAUUAUUUCCUAAUUCAAAGCCGUAAUGGGAUCAGGUUAGUAAAAGCCUACAAUGGAAAACUAAAGCACAGUGCAAAUUGAUCUCUCACACUGUCGCUAAUUUAUCUUCUAAGACAUAUGCAAAAAACUCACUGACUCCAAAUAUUGUCUGUCUGGGUGCUUGGUAUCAAACUGUGAAAUGGCUCUGUGAGUAUGAAAUGCAACUAUUAAUCUGAAAGCAACCUGGCCCAUCUGCAUGGAGCCCUAACACAGUGCCCGGUAGAAUUCAGGCACAUUCCUCUAUCUCAUAAACAAGGUAUGGAAAAGAACAGCUUGCCCUAGAAAAAGCAGACAUUCAAAUGGGAGGCUCACUCAGCCUUUCGGCUUCCUCUGCCUGCGGCAUCUUGGAGACGCACAUGUCCAGAAGGAGUGUUGGGCUGGAUCGUGGUUUGCUGGGCUGAAUGCUGGAGGCUUUGAAGCAGGCCCAGCUACGAGGGAGAAUUAGGGGCAGUAGGACUAUUCAUGCUGGUCUGAAUCCAGUCAGGCUUCACUGAGUCACAGCUAAAGAAAUGAUUCAAAGACCAGCACCAACUCCAAAGACAGGGGUGUCGCUGCAAGCGACAGGUGAGCCCGUGGCUGAACACCAGACAAGCCAGAACGUAGCCGGGCAAGUCUGAGGCAGAGUGGAGACUGUCCUGAGCUGCAGUUGAGAGCAUCGCUGGGGUCUCCCUGGCUUGUCUUCAUUGUUCAGAGGGCCCGAAGGUGCAGGAUCGGGGCAGACAUGCAGGACCCUUUGUCUGCAGCGGAGUCUUUCCCCAACCCCCACCACUCUACCUCCCCAAAUCGCUCAAAGCCCAUUUCCUCCAAGAUGCUGCUGUUUCAAUAAAAGGUUUACCAGAGACUCACCAAAUGGCUGAUCCCUAUAACGUGUUACAUUCCAUGAGAACCUAAGCACACAGAACGUCACGACUUGAAAACAUGAAGCGUUUGGACUAAAGGUUGGCACACUUUUUCUAUAAAGGAUCAGAUUGGAAAUGUUUUAGGCUUCAUGAGCCAAGAGACAAAAUCAAAGCUGUUAUGUAGAUGCUAAUAAAAGAAGAGAUAAAUUUCCACAACGUUUUUCUUGACAAAAUUCAAACUAUAAUCAUUUAGUUUUUGUUUGUUUUGAUAAUACAGGCCCACGAAAGAGAAAAAAUGGAAUUCUUUGAGGAGGAGAUAACAUUUUGCUUAUUGGAAGUUCAAAGUUACUUCCCUAGAACCAAAUUAAUCCCAAAUGUACAUCCAUAAAAACCAUUCUCAGCCUGUUUUGCCACACAUAAGCAGGAGGGGCUGGAUCUGGUCUGGGGGCUACAAUGUGAGAUCUCUGGAUUUAGACUAAUCUGCCUGUUAUAGAUACAAGGCAUCUGAAUCUCAGAGACUUAAGGAUUGCUUAGAAUCACAGGUCUUGUGGAAACAUGGCAAGCCCCUCACCCCACCUGGGUGAUGAUGUGUCCUGACCUCAGGACAAGUCCGUCUGUAUUGAAGUUUCAGAUUGUCUGUGCUGGCUCAUUUUAUGUGGUCAUUGCCUAGGCCAUGGCACCCAGAUACGUGGUCAAACACUAUUCUAGUCACAUAUUAUUCUAUAUUCCAUUUCUGUGAGGGUGUUCUGGAAUAUGAUUAAUACUUCAGUCAGUGGACUUUGAGUAAAGCUGAUUGCUUUCUGUAAUGUGGGUGGGCCUCAUCCAAUCAGUUGAAGGCCUGAAUAGAACAAAAACUGACCUCCCGCCAUCGCGAGGGAAUGCUGCCAGCAGGCGACCUUCCAAAGUGCAACGUGGGCCCUUCCCUGGGUCUCCAGCCUGCUGAUCUAUCCUACAGAUUCUGGUCUUGCAGUCUCCAUAAUCGUGUGAACCAAUUCCUUCGAAGAAUCUCUCUCUGUCCCACCCUCCUACACACACGUUUCUCUGGUGAACCCUAAGCAAUACAUUGACUCAGGUAAUCAUCUUACGGGAAAUGCUAUGAAGAAAAGAACCUAAACACACAUACAAGCUUAUGUUAAUCGUGGGACGAUUGUGUGAAGAAGCAAAUGCAACUAUUAUAAUUCAUAGCAUUGAAGGUAAUUUAUUUACAUUCAUUAACUGCCUACAAGAUAAGUACUGCAAAUAUAAUAGCAAAUAAGCCUGACCCAGCCUUGCCCUCUCAUUGCUUAUAUUCUAAUAGAAAAGUAAAACAGG
ensembl:lncRNA